GAUGAACGCUAGCGGCAGGCUUAAUACAUGCAAGUCGAGGGGCAGCAGGGGUGUAGCAAUACACUCGCUGGCGACCGGCAAACGGGUGCGGAACACGUACGCAACCUACCCAAAACUGGGGAAUAGCCCGGGGAAACCCGGAUUAAUACCUCGUAACAUAAUGAAGUGGCAUCGCUUUAUUAUUAUAGCUCCGGCGGUUUUGGAUGGGCGUGCGCCUGAUUAGGUAGUUGGCAGGGUAACGGCCUACCAAGCCUACGAUCAGUAACUGGUGUGAGAGCACGACCAGUCACACGGGCACUGAGACACGGGCCCGACUCCUACGGGAGGCAGCAGUAAGGAAUAUUGGUCAAUGGACGCAAGUCUGAACCAGCCAUGCCGCGUGAAGGAUGAAGGUCCUCUGGAUUGUAAACUUCUUUUAUAGGGGAAGAAACCCACGGUUUCCACUGUGGUUGACGGUACCCUAGGAAUAAGCACCGGCUAACUCCGUGCCAGCAGCCGCGGUAAAAC
rnacentral:rRNA from 1 species